CCUAAAAAUCCAAAGCUGGCGCUCAGGGUCUCGCAUUUUUAUCUGGUAAAGCGAAUAAUUAGAGGUCUUGGGGCUGAAACGAUCUCAACCUAUUCUCAAACUUGAAAUAGGUAAGAAGCCUGGCUCGCUGGCUUGGAGCCGGGCGUGGAAUGCGAGCCGCCUAGUGGGCCACUUUUGGUAAGCAGAACUGGCGCUGCGGGAUGAACCGAACACCGGGUUAAGGCACCCGAUGCAGACACUCAUCAGACCCCAGAAAAGGUGUUGGUCGAUAUAGACAGCAGACAGUGGCCAUGGAGGUCCGCUAAGGAGUGCAUACUAACUCAACUAGCCCUGAAAAAGAAUGGCGCGUCGGGCCCAUACCUGGCCGUCGCUGGUAACAGGAGCCGCGAGGGCUACGGCGUGACGAGUAGGAGGGCCGCUGUGGUGGACAUGGAAGCCUAGUGUGGGUCUGCGUGGAGCCGCCGUGGGUG
rnacentral:ncRNA from 1 species